CCUACGGGAGGCAGCAGUGAGGAAUAUUGGUCAAUGGACGAGAGUCUGAACCAGCCAAGUAGCGUGAAGGAUGACUGCCCUAUGGGUUGUAAACUUCUUUUAUAUGGGAAUAAAAUGUUCCACGUGUGGGAUUUUGUAUGUACCAUAUGAAUAAGGAUCGGCUAACUCCGUGCCAGCAGCCGCGGUAAUACGGAGGAUCCGAGCGUUAUCCGGAUUUAUUGGGUUUAAAGGGAGCGUAGGUGGAUUGUUAAGUCAGUUGUGAAAGUUUGCGGAUCAACCGUAAAAUUGCAGUUGAAACUGGCAGUCUUGAGUACAGUAGAGGUGGGCGGAAUUCGUGGUGUAGCGGUGAAAUGCUUAGAUAUCACGAAGAACUCCGAUUGCGAAGGCAGCUCACUGGACUGCAACUGACGCUGAAGCACGAAAGCGUGGGUAUCGAACAGGAUUAGAUACCCCUGUAGUC
rnacentral:rRNA from 1 species